rnacentral:rRNA from 1 species
UACGAAGGGUGCUAGCGUUGUUCGGAAUUACUGGGCGUAAAGGGUGCGUAGGCGGCUUUCUAAGUCGGAUGUGAAAACUCUGGGCUCAACCCAGAGCCUGCAUCCGAAACUGGAGAGCUAGGGUUCUGGAGGGGAAAGCGGAAUUCCUGGUGUAGCGGUGAAAUGCGUAGAUAUCAGGAGGAACACCGGUGGCGAAGGCGGCUUUCUGGACAGAUACCGACGCUGAGGCACGAAAGCUAGGGGAGCAAACAGG